CUGGACUUCUCCCAAAGCUGUUCUUUGUAUGGCAGAAGGUGAGGAAGAAGGCAGCUGCCACAUUCCUCAGGAUUUUGUAAACUAGUAGGUUGUGAAUUUAUUUUAGAAUAAUGUUGUUUCUGUCUGUUGCUAAAUAAGACUGCAGGCCUGUGUGAUCCGGUAAAUAGUACUGCUGUCCCAUUUACCACCUCAGGUUGCAUCAGACUUCCUUGGUUGUUUCACAGCUGCAUACAUUUUGAAACUUCUCUCCUUAGCUCUGGCUGAGCUCAAACUUGUUGAAUUCCUAUCAAAGUUAUGUGCAUAGCACCUCGCUUUCAGAUUAAUUCUUUCUUGAAAACUAAAUUUUAGAGAUUCAACUUAAUCCUGCUUUCUGAUGGCAGGGAUGGGGAAAGAACAGUCCCAUAUUUAAAAUAAAGGGAGAGAACUGGAUAGAACCUGAUGACUAAGUACAUGCAAAAGUAGAAGCUCUCUUCUCUCAGGCAUUUAGGGUGAAGGAGGACUGCUGGGCUAAAUCUAUAAUGGUUUUUGGGACCACCAUGAUUGUGUUGGAUCUUGAAACUAAUAUGUUUGCUUCUGUAUUGGAAAGGAAAAUUGGCAGGUCUUUACUGAGGUUAUGCAUCCUAGGAUGAUCAUUCUUGAGUCUAUGUGACAAGCAUAUAGAGCACUGCAUUCAGAGGGCUAAAAUGUAAAGGAAAGAAUGAACAGUCUCUAAGUUCUACCUCAGAGAAGUUGGUUGCCCCAGGUCAGGUGCAAGGAAACUGUUUGUCUUUGGCUCUUGCACGCAUUUUGAUACCGUAGACAACAAAAUGCCUGGGGAUUUUGUUAACUCCUACAACACAUACAAUCACCCAUUUGUGCAGAUAACUCUGGUUAUUGUGGUCUCGUCUUGAUUUGUAAAUGGCAUAAGCAGAUACUUGGGCAAAAAUAGUUGGGUGUCUUUUACACCAGGCAGCAAAGUUUUUCCAGAGGACUGAGCCUGAGUUAUCAAUGCUUGACUUCAGUUACCUAGUCCUCCAGAAAUUGGAGUCGCAGUCCAUUAGAAAUGCCUUAAAUUUUAAUAUGUAAUGUUGCAGCCUGAAGAGGUUGGUCCAAUAAAAGAUUACCUCACCCAUCUUGUCCCUUUGCAUUUUAAUUGGUGUCUGAUUUGACACUGAGUUUGUAAAAGUCUCUUGAUUUUUUUUCAAUGGAGAGAUGCAUUUCCAGGAUCUGUCUACCCAACAACAAGUUUCCGUUUGAGAAAGUAGUCGUGUUCACAGCUAGGUCAGGUGGAUUGUAGAAUAGACACUGCACAUCUAGCUAGCAUGAGUAUAAAUAGCCGUGUAAAUGGUGAGACACUGUUUAGGUGAAUAGAAUAGACACACUAGAACCUUAAGGUAUAUAUCCUGCGCAGCUCUGUAUAUGCCCAAGCAGUGCCUCCCAUGUCUAUGCUGUUCUUUUUAGCAGUGUGGUGUCUCGCUGCCAGAACCUUUCCCAGCCUCCGUGAAAAGCUCCAACAGUGUGAAAGGCUUGGGUAGGGAGAGGUAGAAGGGAAGGGUUCCGGCAGACUUUCCCUGCUUCCUCCCCUGCCAGAGCCUUUCACUGCUGUGUAGCUACACGCUGCUGUGUGGACACAGCCUACUUUUCACUGUAGCAUAUCACUCCGUGUACCCUACACACUGUUGCAAGGGUAGACAAGGUCCUAGAGUAUGAAACAGCUAUGAGGAUGUUUAAAAAAGUUUGUAUAUUCUUUAGAAUCUUAGGCUGUGUCGACAUUACACAGCUUUUAGCAAUGUGGCUGUGUAUCCGCUGUUUGUCAGCUCCCCUGCCGACAAAAGACUUCUGCUCACCAACAGGCAGCAUUUGCAUUGUCAGCAGUAGAAUGCUUCUACCAACAACAUGCUGUUCACACUGGCAUUUGUUGCGGCAAAACUUUUGUCUUUCGGGGGAGGGGGGAGGUAACCUCUGAAAGAAAAGUUUGUCAUUCAAUUGCCAGUGUAGACAUAGCCUUGGAGAUCAGAGGAUAUAACUAAAUGAACAGUAGUACAUAUAGUAGCACUGCCGUCUUCUGUGACUCUGCCUCUGUAAAAGUCUAGGCAUUGUAAAGCUGUGCCACAGAGACCCUUCUGGGGAAAGGGAGAGGCCUUGUGAUUCCAGGAGGCACAUACAGACAAAUAUAUCUCUUGCUGCUUGUUACAGAACGAUGUGUUUCAAACAUCUUCAGGCUUACUCUAGAGAGAGUGGGAAUACCUCUGGAUUUGAAGCUGCUCUGGCUGAGAAUUCUGUGGGGCACUGAGAGAGUAUGCAACACUAGUGGAGGGUUUAGUGAGUUUUAUUUCUUCACACAAAUGUGGCUAGGUUUUUUUCAGAAACAUGAAAUCCGAGCUGAGACCAAUUUUUAAAAAAAGGCUCUAGGGUGAUCUCAUUAAUUACAGGCCGAUAAGCCUAACUUCAGUACCAAGCAAAUAGGUUGAAACUCUAGUAAAGAAGAGAAUAAUGGUGGAUGAACACAAUUUGGUGGGGGAAGAGUCAACAUGGUUUUUGUAAAGGGAAACCAUGCCUCACCAAU